rnacentral:rRNA from 1 species
CAGCAGCCACGGUAAUACAGAGGGUGCAAGCGUUAAUCGGAAUUACUGGGCGUAAAGCGCGCGUAGGUGGUUCGCCAAGUUGGAUGUGAAAUCCCCGGGCUCAACCUGGGAACUGCAUCCAAAACUGGCGAGCUAGAGUAUGGUAGAGGGUGGUGGAAUUUCCUGUGUAGCGGUGAAAUGCGUAGAGAUCGGGAGGAACAUCAGUGGCGAAGGCGGCCAUCUGGGACAACACUGACGCUGAGGCACGAAAGUGUGGGGAGCAAACAGGAUUAGAUACCCGCGUAGUCCCUGUCUCUUAUAC